GCGUAAUACUUGCUCGGAGACCAUGAUGCGCUUUGGGAGGCUGCACAGGCUUUUUCGGGGAGCAGUGGAAUGGCUGUGUUCUCUCUGCUGUCCACCUGUCUUUGUGGGACAGAACUGUACCGCUCUCUUUUUGGCCAGCUCCACCCUCCCAACGAAGGCCACGGGGAUUGACAUCGCCCACCUCCGACACCCAGUGGGCGCCUUGGCUGGUGCGGCUGCUGGUCCAGAUGGAGGAAACCAGUGACUUUAUGGGGCUGAGCUAGUAGGGAAGCCCCUGGGAAGGUGCUGCGUUCCGAACCUGUGCCUAAUACAUGCAAGGGCGCUGCCCCGCCCAACACCGCCUUUAAACGCCACAAAUAAAGAGCAUUGUUACCGC
rnacentral:sRNA from 1 species